CAAAGGGUAACAACAAGUCAUUCGAUAUGUGGAUGGUUGCAGCAUAAUUCAAAUCCGCAAUAAUCCUAUCCUAAUGAAAGUAAUGUUGGUUGUUACUAAUGUGAGGGUUGAGCUUAAAACUCUUAAUGAAAUUCAGUGCUAAAACAUAAGUACCUCUAAAAGUAACAAAGAUACCAGAAGAACUUCACCUAGACUAACUUCGAGGUGGUGCUGCCUCAAUUGAGAGUUGGAGUUCUUCUCUUAAAAGUUUGUCGAAUAGGAUGAGCGUAAGGUCAUAAAAGUGCUAAGCGAGUUGAGGAACUUAAUAACACGUGAUACUUAUGUGUGUGUUCUUACCGGUAUUGUCACAAGGAAUAAUUGGUUCAAAGCUUCCAUGUUACCUCUAAUUCCGACUUUACUUUGUUUGAAUUACACUAUGGUUAGAUUCAAAUCGAAAUAUAUUUAAUUCUUAUGCAUAAGUGUCGUCUUUUUGAAUGUGAUCAUAUUGAUUUUGAACAAGUGGGGGAUUGUUGAAAAUUUGAUCAAAAUCAAUGGAAUGAUAAUGAACUUAUUGUUGGGCUCAAUUGUGGAAUUGGUAGAAUCAAAAGAAAUUAAAAAAUGCAAAAUUUGAUUUUUUGCCAAUGCGUACGCACAGGCUUAAUUUUGUGAGUACGCGAGAUGUGUUUUGGCAAAAUCAGAAUUAAAUUUUGCUUCUACUAUGUGUACGCAUGGUGCAAGGUGUAUAUUAUGCGUACGCAUAGUGUUAAAAAAUAGCAAUUGGCUAAUUUUUCAAUUUGAAACUUGGGAGCCGUUUGGAUUAAAAGUUACCACUUUUCAUCUUGUUUUGACACCAUUUUGUGAUGCAUUGAUUGAGACCUAUAAAUAGGUGAUAAAUGAUCAAUACAAACAUUAUUAGAAUCAUUAAAAACAUCUUAAGAUUCAUAUAUCAUUCUAUAUUAAAUCAAACUAUUGAUUUACAUUCAUAUUCAAGAUCUUCCUUUGUGUUCUUAAAAUUUUGGAGAAUUGCACUUGUGCUUUGGUGUUAAAUCAUUUACAAG
rnacentral:lncRNA from 1 species